ACCGGCGAACGGGUGCGUAACACGUGAGCGACCUACCCUGGAAUGGGGGAUAGCCGGCCCAACGGCCGGGUAAUACCGCAUACGCUCUUCGAGCUGCAUGGCUUGGAGAGGAAACCUUUUGGGUUCCUGGAGGGGCUCGCGGCCUAUCAGCUAGUUGGUGAGGUAACGGCUCACCAAGGCUAUGACGGGUAGCUGGUCUGAGAGGAUGGCCAGCCACAUUGGGACUGAGAAACGGCCCAGACUCCUACGGGAGGCAGCAGUGGGGAAUAUUGCGCAAUGGUCGAAAGACUGACGCAGCGACGCCGCGUGGAGGAUGACGCCCUUCGGGGUGUAAACUCCUGUUGCUCGGGACGAACCUCCCCAUUCGUGGGGACUGACGGUACCGGGUGAGGAAGCACCGGCUAACUCUGUGCCAGCAGCCGCGGUAAUACAGAGGGUGCGAGCGUUGUCCGGAAUCACUGGGCGUAAAGGGCGCGUAGGCGGCUUGGUAAGCGUGCGGUGAAAGCUCGGGGCUCAACCCCGAGUCUGCCGUGCGAACUGCCGAGCUGGAGCACGGUAGAGGCACAUGGAAUUCCGGGCGUAGCGGUGGAAUGCGUAGAGAUCCGGAAGAACACCGGUGGCGAAGGCGGUGUGCUGGGCCGUUGCUGACGCUGAGGCGCGACAGCGUGGGGAGCAAACAGGAUUAGAUACCCUGGUAGUC
rnacentral:rRNA from 1 species